GCGGUCAUUCGCAAUUUACAAAUAUUCAUUCUUCGAUCAUUGCCAUCGCGAUGCAAGAUCGAAUAACCAAAACAAGAAAUAUCAGCGGACUCUGACAGUUUUACGCUUUUUUUUCUAUGCGUUAAUAAAAUAAAAUGUAUAACAAAUACAUAAAAUAGAUGGUACUAAAGUAAAUAAAGUUAAUAAAAUUAGACACAAAAUGGAAUGCUUGAUCAUUGCUUUGUGCACUGAGAAGCGUAAAUACGAAGCAAAAUAUAUACGAAUAGAUUAUAUAUAUAAGUCUAUCUUGGAUUUCCUCAAAUUCUCAGGACGCCACGUAUAGUAAAGCUAAAAGGAGCUUAAUUCAACCCUUUGAUUUGCUGCGGAACUGAAUGCGAAAAGCGAUUCGCUGGGGAAAUUAGGAGCGCGACUUUUUGAGGACAUUAUAAGGAAACUUUACGGCUAAUAUAUAUCUCAAAAACGCUUUGGAGAAAAUUGCCAUAAAUUCUAUUUUAUGAAGCGAUAUGAAAGGGUACGAUACCAGCGAGAUGCCCGGUAACCUCUUCUAGGGCAGAAAAUCCACCAUCCGCCGCAGGCAGCCGACAGGAAGUUCUCCCUGAAGUGCUUCGACAUAAACCCGUAAACUAUCGGGUUUAUACAGCUGCAAUACAGAUAUUAAAUUAAAGACUGCCGUUCGGUACAAUCGGAUCGAAUAUCGCGUUAAUCGUCGAACAGCUAAAAUGCGGAAACUACGCGGGUUUAUGCAACCGCGUCCAUAAACCCGCACCUGCGGAUGCACGCGGUUGCAUCGGAACGCGAAAUGAAAUCCGCAGUUUAACAUCUGGAAUGCGUAAACACAAUCCAAUUUCACAUUUUCCUGUAAUCGAAUUUUCAAGUGUAAAUCCCGUAUCGAUUAUUCUAUACCUGAGUGGUUCCAGCUUAUCAAAUUUUCUGAUAUAAAAACAAGAAAAAAAAAUGC